AAGGACAGUCACCUUUCUAAGAAGGCUUAGAGAAGCAAGUAUCCCUCAGGCUUCCCUAGAGUUGAAGUUAGGGACUGGUUAAGCAGAUAGCACGUAAUACAUUCAUUCCAACAUGUUCUAGGCCUUCAGGCAACUUUCCUGUUCAGUGUGCCUUGCAAAUUCCAGCAUCUCAAUUUCAUUGACUGUAGGUCUGCCUUCAAUUCUUCAUCCAAGCAAACUAUUACUAUUUACUUUCAGUGUGUUUAAACCAACACAAAUCCUGGCUGCUGAGAGGGCUACUCCUGGUAUCAAUCACUCUUUUAGUCAGAAAACAGAUGGCACGCCCUAAUGGGGUAAUUAAGGAAAGAUUAAUGUGGACACCAUUUUCGAACUUUCUGUGUCCCAAUAAUCAUCAUAAAAGAAAGAAGAUUCUACUACAGCUACAAAAUUCAGCCUUUGGGGUGCUGCUUUGUUGGAGGUUAUACCAAGAUACUCAAUCCCUGGAAGGAUCCCUAAAGACAGAAAGCAAGAUGGCUUUCAGUUUUUUCUAAACUCAGUAGAUUAAACAGCCACUCAACUGGUUCUUUGGAGCAGCUAUUAUGGAAAUUAAAAUGCCAUUUUAAAAACUAGGUGACCAGAAGAGCCUUAUAUCGCUGUUUUAUACUCCAGUGGAGAUCAGGCAAAGAGUUCUCUCCCAGAAUUUUUAAGUCGACCUAGCCAAAACAGGACAAGCAAGUACCCUUCGAAGUAUUUAUUAUAGCUCAGCAGCAGCAGCAGCAGCAGCAGCAGCAGCAGCAGCAGUCAUGGGAAAGGCCCAAUUAACUUCAGGAUAUUAUUUGUUGAGCUCCCUGCUGUCUGAGUCUUCUUCCCAUCGGAGCCCCUUUGAUUUCUGCUCAUCCCCCAAGAUUUGUCUCCCAGGUGGCUGUCAAUUAUUGCCUUGCCUUGAAAAUGACAUGCCCAAGGAAGCUGCUGUGCCUCUGGGUCACAGAAUGAGCAAACAUGGAUGAGACCUGAAGCAAACCACAGCCUGGAUCCAAGUGUAACCAAUACACAGCCUGAAGCAUAACUGUCCAUGCAAGCCCCAUCUACAUCAGCUGAACCACUGUCACUCCACAGACUUUGUGGCAAUGAAAAUAC